rnacentral:rRNA from 1 species
CAGUUAAAAAGCUCGUAGUUGGAUUUCUGCGGGGGCGGGGCGGCCGGUUGCUUAUAGCAACUCGAGCUAGCACUUCCCCUGCAUUCUGCCGCGAACCGUGCUACCAUUAGUUUGGUGGCGCCGGGGAUCGGCUCGUUUACUUUGAGAAAAAUAGAGUGUUCAAAGCAGGCCACACGCCUUGAAUAAGUUAGCAUGGAAUAAUGAUAAAGGACUUCGGUUCUAUUUUGUUGGUGUUCGGGACUGAAGUAAUGAUUGAUAGGGACAGUUGGGGCGGUCAGUAUUCCAAAGCGAGAGGUGAAAUUCUUAGACCUUCGGAAGACUAACAGCUGCGAAAGCGUUCCGCAAGGAUGUUCCCUUUGAUCAAGAACGAAAGUUGGGGGAUCGAAGACGAUCAGAUACCGUCGUAGUCUCAACUAUAAACUAUACCAGCUAGGGAUCGGCCGACGUUUACUUAUAUCGACUCGGUCGGCACCUUAUGAGAAAUCAAAGCAUCUGGGUUCCGGGGGGAGUAUGGUCGCAAGGCUGAAACUUAAAGGAAUUGACGGAAGGGCACCACCAGCCGUGGAGCCUGCGGCUUAAUUUGACUCAACGCGGGAAAACUUACCAGGUCCAGACAUAGUAAGGAUUGACAGAUUGAUAGCUCUUUCUUGAUUCUGUGGGUGGUGGUGCAUUGGCCGUCCUAG